rnacentral:misc_RNA from 1 species
GAUGAAGAACGUAGCGAAAUGCGAUACGUAAUGUGAAUUGCAGAAUUCAGUGAAUAAUCGAGUCUUUGAACGCACAUUGCGCCCCCUGGUAUUCCGGGGGGCAUGCCUGUCCGAGCGUCAUUGCUGCCCUCAAGCACGGCUUGUGUGUUGGGCCUCCGUCCUCCUCCCGGGGGACGGGCCCGAAAGGCAGCGGCGGCACCGCGUCCGGUCCUCGAGCGUAUGGGGCUUCGUCACCCGCUCUUGUAGGCCCGGCCGGCGCUUGCCGACACAUCAAUCUUUUUUCCAGGUUGACCUCGGAUCAGGUAGGGAUACCCGCUGAACUUAAGCAUAUCAAUAAGCGGAGGA